rnacentral:rRNA from 1 species
UACGUAGGGGGGCUAGCGUUGUCCGGAAUCAUUGGGCGUAAAGAGCGUGUAGGCGGCCCCGGUAAGUCCGCUGUAAAAGUCAAAAGGCUCAACCUUUGAAUGUCAGUGGAUACUGCCGGGCUAGAGUCCGGAAGAGGCGAGUGGAAUUCCCCGGUGUAGCGGUGAAAUGCGCAGAUAUCGGGAGGAACACCUAUGGCGAAGGCAGCUCGCUGGGACGUUUACUGACGCUGGAGACGCGAAAGCGUGGGGAGCAAACAGG